rnacentral:rRNA from 1 species
UACGAAGGGGGCUAGCGUUGCUCGGAAUUACUGGGCGUAAAGCGCACGUAGGCGGUCUUUUAAGUCGGGGGUGAAAUCCUGGAGCUCAACUCCAGAACUGCCUUCGAUACUGGAAGACUCGAGUCCGGGAGAGGUGAGUGGAACUGCGAGUGUAGAGGUGAAAUUCGUAGAUAUUCGCAAGAACACCAGUGGCGAAGGCGGCUCACUGGCCCGGUACUGACGCUGAGGUGCGAAAGCGUGGGAGCAACAGGG